AUAAGUCCUUAAUAAUCAUGAUAAGAAUGUUUACCCUCUUUUUUCCUUGUAUUAAGUGUUAUUAUUACCAUGAAUAGUGGUUUGGCGCAAUUAUCCUUACUCUUUCAUUGUAUUUGCGAAUCUGCCAUUCUUUUCAUUAUUUGCUUCUUUUUUUUUUUUUCUUUUUUUCUUUUGUUUUUCUGACAAUUUGACACCUCUUCCGAAUUUCCUUACAGGUGUCACAACUAUUCUUUCUCUUUCAUUUCAUUUUUAUUUCCAAAUCUCUCUCUUCUACUCCCUCCCUUUAUUUUGCCCCAUAGUGUAUGUUUAUUUUACUAAUUGUUGGUUGUGUAAAUUUGAGAGAGAGAAUAGCGGUGGGUCUAAAACUUUGUUUGUGAGAGAAAAAUAUUGACCCCUAUAGAUAUAAAUGGCAUGGGGCAAAAUAAAAGGGGAGCAAUAAUUAAGGGACAGAGGAGUAUUUCAUUGCAUGAUAUUUCGAUUGGAUGAACCUCCAUUGAAUUGAUGCAGCUUCUUAGGAUUCGGAUAAUCAAGUACUCUGCUCAAAUGCUUUCGGAGCUCCGAACCUCUGAACUUCCAAUUCGUUCUGAAUUUAUCUUCUUCGGAAUCAGUAUUUUAGUCUACUCCCGAAAUUGAAAGGGUGAAGCGUGUAUGAAUGCCCAAGAAAUUUUGUGGAGGAGAAUCAGAAAUUGGCGGCUAAAUGUUGAGGCCUGUAUCAGUGUUCGAAUUUAGCAAAUUAGUGUUGGAUAACUACAGUCAUCAAUGUGAGAUGCUUUCGAUACUACUGAUUUUACUGGAGUUGGAGUAAAUAGGUCUCCGGGAGUUGGAAAAUAGACAAUUAUGAGUUAUGAAUGAGAUUUAUAGGUUUGAUCCUACCUUUCCAUGUAAUUUUUAUUAUAACAUCCACUCCUAAAGUUAUACAAUUAUUGCUUAUUAAUAGAACGAAAGAAAUCGAGCGAUAAGAUGCAAACCCUUUUAUUCCGAUUCUUUAAAAUCAGCAUUCUUCAUUGAAGCUCAAAGUUCUGUACAAUAUUGAUACUCAUGUUUAUCUCUUUUCGGAUUAUUAUUAUUAAUUGAAUGACUGGGUCGUAUUUAUGAACUCAUGAGAACAUGAUUCUAGGCUUUCUCGAUUACUCUAUACUUAAUUAGAAAUCGGUAAUUAUGAUAGUUGUGAACCCUUGUGCCGAAGGAGUUAAAAGCAGCCGGGUGGUUCUUUCUGUUUCCUGUAACCAACAUAUGAGGUAUCUUAUUUUCUUAGUUCUUGUUCUCAUGUUGUUUAUGUAUUAAAGUGAUCUUGUCAAGGUAUAAUAUUUCUUUCUUAUUUUUGAUUUGGAGUGCUGAUAUUAAUUUCAGAUGCAUUGAAAUAUAUAUAUUUUCUGAUUUUUAAUUGAAUUCAUCUUAUGGAAUUUAUAUGUGAGACAAAGUAAUUAAUUAUUUUGCUUUUGGAUUUUGUAAAAUUUGCUAAUUUCUAUUGGAAAUACUACGUAUAUGAUUGUUGUGGGCAAUUGUAUCUUUGUACUGGGCACGUCAAAUAUAUGAUCAUUGUGGGCAAUUUUCCCUGGUCCAUUUCCUUUUCAAUUCCUAUAUCUUUUAUCUAAAUUUUCAAUUAGUUUCUUCCUCCGCACCUAAAUUAAAGGGAAUAAUAAACCUUUGCCACAAUGUCAGUUUGACCAGUUACUUGAAUUGCCAAAAAAAAAUUUACUUGUAGUUUGGAACAUGAUUUGGUAGAUUUUUGGGAGAAUCGAAGGUGGGUGUUUGGUAUGAUUGGCUUGAAUGUACAUCUAAUACCUAACAUUGCCUAUUAUAAUAAUAUAGUUGUUAAGGGCUGUUAAAGUACAAAUUCUAGCUGUUAUAUUUUGUUGUUUGAUGGGUUUUUAGUAUGAGAACUUUAUAGCUUAGAUACAUUAAUAUGCUCUUUUUUCCCCUUUUUCUGGUAACCAAUUAUCAGUAACACCCUCUAUUAUUGUAUAGAAUUGAACGGCAAAAAGUGCUUUGGGGGCUCUGAACUUCUAAACUUUCUCCUCACAAGUAUUUCGAACUCUGUGAGUAAUUACUGAUUUUUUUAAUUGUGUUUUGGAAGAUAUGCGAGCUCUCGACGAGUUGAGGAAGCUGAAAUUGUUCUUCAAGGAUGAGAGCAGCCAUGGUCUUUCAGUUUCGGAUCUCUAUGAACUUAUUCAGCAUGCUGACAACGUGUUACCGAGGCUUUAAGCUGUGUUACAGUCUAACAGAGCAUUUUGGUGAUGAUGAUGCAACUCAGAUUGAUUUAGACCUUGAUGAGAUGUACUUUCACUUAUCGAUCUUGUUUCACGACUACUUCAGUAUUCACCCAGUCUUCGUUCUACUGGACCUCCCUCCUCUUCCGAGUAAAAAAACUUUUACAGGAAAUGAUGGAAUGAGUUGAAUUCAAGGAAAAAUGAGUCCAUCUACAUUAAAUUUCCUUUUGCAGUUGGAUGCAUGUGUUCUUCCUUUCUUUGAUGAGCUUAUGGUUCCCAAUACUCGCCUUCCAAACGGUUAUAUCCAAGAGAAAUUCAGAAGAGGCGUAAGUAUGCCUAGGGAGGGAGGUGAGACCUUGACAUGUUGUAAUGAAGCACACGGCCUUGGAGAUGACUAUGACAGAUCAACCCGGCUUACUAUCUGAAAUGUCAGCUGAGCUUGUUGAGCUGGGGUGCCAUAUCAGUGCGCUGGGGUGCCAUGUCAGUGCCUGUGUUGCAUGGACCCACAAACACUGGGGUGCAUGCAUCAUCUACGUAAAUGACCAGGAAUUGAGCAGACCUAUAACUGAUCAGAAACGCCUUUUUCAUAUAUCUACACAAACAACAAGGCCUUUUUUGAGCUGAGCCUAAGUAUCGAGUUCAAAUUGUAAUCAUUUUAGUAAUGUCUACAUCAAUGGAGGUAUAAGUUUAAUUUUUUUUUUUUUUUUUUUUUUUUUAAAAGAACUAUACAUAGGAAAAUGGAUAGCUUCAAUAUGAAUGUAGUUGAAAUGAUGAUGAUGCGUGUAUGUUUGCGAAUCACAAGCAUUAUAUAAGAAUUUGGUGGUAGAUAGGUUAAAUAUGAUCAUUGUGAAUACAAAUGUGGUGAGAUGUUAAAUUGACUAAACGAGAGUGAGAUUGGGCUAUUGUCUUUGUUUUCUUGUUAGAUUACAAGCUCUUUUUGUACUGUAUUCACUUGGUGCUAUUGUCUUUGUUUUCCAAUAUAUGAAAUGAUGCUGCCUUUGGUUUGUCCAA